UUGCAGUGGUGCCCAGGUUUUCCUUAGCUCUUUCCAAUAAAGAUUGUCCAUCCUUUACAUGCGCAGGAGGCUGCUGAUUGACUGCAGUAGUCACAUGACCCUGGGGCACUCACUGAAGAUAUCCACUACUGAAGACCAGAGCGCAGGACUGAAGCAUGGAAAUGGAGGCGGAGGAUCUUCAGGAUCAUGUGCUGCAAGGCAUGAACCAUUUUUUUCUUCAGCUCUUCAACUCUGCGCUAUCAUUGUGAACUUGGACCAGGUAUCAUUAUGGAUAAGAGAAAGCAUUCCAUUGUAUUGCCUUGCCGUGUACCAGAUCUUCUGCUCUUGUGACUUGACCAUGCUCCUCUGCCGCCUGCCUACUGAACUCCUGCUACGUCCUGACUACGCUACUGUGCCGCCUGCCCUGACCUACUGCUAUCCUGACUAUGAGUUGCCUCAUCCCUCCUGUGCCUCGCAUCUCCCCAGCCGCCUGUGUGGUCGAGCCAUGCCAGGGGUAGCGACCUGGGUGUCGCCUGCAGCUGCAAGCCCAUCCUGCUUUGCUGCGGGCUCUGGUGAAGACCAGCGGCACCUUAGACUCGGCUCCCUGGUAUGGUCCGAGUCAUCUGCCACACAGGUCCAGCGGAUCCACAUACAUCGGAGUUCCUGUGUUCAGAAAGGCUUUGAUAUUACAACACGGAACAAAACUUUUUAUCAGCACUGCUUGGUUGAGACGCCACCAGCCGGGACUGUCUGCCACACAAAGUGUGCUGCCCUACUGGAGGACAUAAAACUGCUGUGACAGUGUUGGGUCCCAUUUCUUCAUCCAAUCUAAAGGUACAUGGAUAGCAGAAUUGAGUUCGUGCGAGAUGUCAAUUACUAUGUGAACGGUGGUGGGUGCACGAUAGGGUCACUUGAGAAAGGGGGCGUGUCCUCCAAAAUGUCGGAAGUGUCCGGCAACUACUCAACGGUCUACCCCUUCGGGAGAGGAAGGAAGGAAGAUAAGCCUCCGGGAGGCCCAAGAAAGGGUGAAACAUAUCCAGUCAGCUUAACAAGGAUUGUUGGGCGUAUCUAGUGAGCACUCUGGGUGAUAAAACUUUUUGUAUCUAUUGAUGAAUAUGAAAUUGGUGGUCUGCAGAUCGAUUUUUGUACCAUGAAUAUUUGAAUACUAAA